UUUUUUUUUUUUUGUCAGUGAAGAAAAAAAAUAAGAUACCUUUAAUUAAAAGCAGUGAAAAUGUUUCGACUGUGGUUCGUCAUCCUAGCCUGCAGUUUCUGCUUUGAAAUAUCAGUUUCAUCGGCUAAGGAGCCGGUGAUCAUAUCAUUCAACCUGACGACUUUUGGCGGUGACAUCGAGAGGAUUAAAUCUCUGCACAACACCAGCUGGCCCCUUGUUGGAAAGUGCUGCCCGGUUGGUCAAUUGUAUCGUUUUAACGAUGAUGAUAAUCCGGGUGAAAAUCGAUGCGAAGACCCGCGACCGAACGAGAAAAACGAGUACUCACCGUUCUUCAGCGACUUCAAUCAUUCCGGACUGUUGGUUCCAGGAUUGAGUCAACCCCAAUUCGUCGCGGUCAUCGGAAUACCUUGCCGACAUGGAAAGUACAUAAUGGAUCCGUUGACGAUAGCGGAGGACGAGUAUCACCUCAUGAUGAACGGGAGCGUUUUCACGCCGCUGAAUAACGUGCGGAUGCUUCAACCUGGUCAAGACUACUGCAUGGAGGUCGUGUCCGAUGGAAGAUUGGUCGUCAUGGGCUGCUACCAGCCAGAACUUAAAGUAGUUACAGCGGACACGCGGCUCGCUAUGUACGCAAUCGGUCUCCUGAUUUCGGUGCCAUUUCUCCUGGCGACGAUCAUCUCGUACGUGAUAACGCGGCAGAUCUGCGACGUACAUGGCAUGAAUCUAUGCUGCUACUCCGGAUGUCUUGCGGUGGCUUUUCUCACCCUGGCGUUACUACAGCUUGGUGGACAGUCGUUCGAUCAGAACGCUUGCGUAUCAGCAGCGUUCGUCAUACAGUUCUCCUUCAUUGCCUGCUCCUUUUGGCUCAACGCUAUGACCGUCGAAAGUUGGCGACUUAUUCGAGGGUACAAAGCAGGCUCCCCUCCGCUCACUAGUGAGCGCAGCCCUCCACUCUACAGAGUAUUCUUCUUCUACUCAAUUUGGGGAUGGGGACUUUCCGCCGUUCUCAUCGUUGUCUCCUUGGCUCUGGGUCUCAAUCCGACGAUACCGUGGACCUACGUCAAAAGAUCCGGAAACGAGCAGCCGAGCUGCUGGUUUGGUUGGUGAGCUGCCCUCUGAAAGAAGACAUUUGGAUUCGCAGACAUCGUUGUGUACAAAUUUCCAGCAUCCUCCGGUCUCAGAUACAUCCCCGGCGGCAAUUGAACAAAAGUAUCAACGGGUCCUGAACGCAAAUCUGCAAACAAAUUGAUAUCCGAUGUAAAAAUUAUGGACUGGAUAUGAAUGGAAAAACCACUUUUAAAACUCGCAAAUAACAGAAAUGUGGAACUACCAACGCGGAAAGAACUAUAUCUAAUACUUCUAAUACAGCUGUGUGUGUGCAAUGCGCGUAUAGCGGUAUGCACGGCUGCUGCCCCUCAAAAAUGCUUGUUUCCGUUUCAUAAUCUCACGACGAUUCUUGUACAUCUCUACGGUUUGACGGGUGACCGCACAUGAAACAGCAUUCCGUGUGCAGAGUCGACUAUAAUACGACUAUGACUAAAAUAUUUCAGCGUCUAUGUAUAAAAUGACAUAGCUAUAUGGAUGACGAAAGGUUUAUGCAUUAUUGCUGCAACAUUGAUGCAUACGCAUGCAUACCUUCAGGGUAAAGUUGAUUAGCACUGCAUCUACACGCUGUACAGUUUGGAAUACCAGAAGACACCAGGGCAACACGGGCAGCAUUUUAGACUCCAGAGUAUCAUUUGGCGGUUUGAAGUGAAAGAAGGAUGGUGAGUACCCGCUGGCCGGCAGCGAACUGAGCCCGUCAUCCCUAUCGUGUGGAUUGCCACGAGUAACAACAGUGGCGUUUUCUCUUCCAAGGGCAGCGAGCUGUCG
rnacentral:misc_RNA from 1 species